GUAGCUUUUCGGCUGUCGCUCGCGAGACGGGUGUUGGUCAACCUUCCGUCAGCAAGCAGAUUGCCCAGCUUGAAGCGCACCUCGGUGCGCAGCUCAUGCGACGAACCUCCCGCAGUAUGUCGCUCACGGAAGCGGGGCAAACAUUCUACGAAUCCGCUGUGCG
rnacentral:misc_RNA from 1 species